rnacentral:rRNA from 1 species
GAUGAACGCUGGCGGCGUGCCUAACACAUGCAAGUCGAGCGAGAACCGCUGGAAUGACACUUCGGUAGAAUGAAAGCGGGAAAGCGGCGGACGGGUGAGUAACGCGUAGGUAACCUGCCCCAUACACAGGGAUAGCCUAGGGAAACCUGGAUUAAUACCUGAUGAAGCAACUGGUCGCAUGACCGGCUGCCAAAGAUUUAUCGGUAUGGGAUGGACCUGCGUCUGAUUAGUGAGUUGGUGGGGUAAUGGCCUACCAAAGCGACGAUCAGUAGCCGACCUGAGAGGGUGAUCGGCCACAUUGGAACUGAGACACGGUCCAAACUCCUGCGGGAGGCAGCAGUGGGGGAUAUUGCACAAUGGGCGGAAGCCUGAUGCAGCAACGCCGCGUGAGCGAAGAAGGUCUUCGGAUCGUAAAGCUCUGUCCUGGGGGAAGAAACAAAUGACGGUACCCCGGGAGGAAGCCCCGGCUAACUACGUG